GUGUGGCUCUUAAUGAAUGAUUGUAAUGUCUCGAGCAUGGCAAGUUGCCGCGGGGGCGGAAACAUUCUAAUGUAAUAACUAAAUAGCAAAAAAUAUUACGGUUAAUUCAUUUGCGAGGACUUAAUUAAAAGUGCGACACGCGACUCGAUAGUAGGCGCGCCCGCGAGCCGCACCGCACGAACACGCCCGGCACCAGGCGCCUGGCGUUGACCCGCGGCGAUCAGCCUGCGACCCUGUAUGUAUUCCUCGGGACUCAGCCUAGGAAAUGGUCUACCCCAUAGGGCAUUCCUACACGCCGAAUAAUUCUGUAAUGUAUUUGAUGUACAUAUGCAUGUGAACAAUUAAGUAUAUAAAAUAUAUUGGAUUAACACAUUUCAUAAUCGAAUCGAAUAAAAUGUUUAAGCUUAAAUUCUCUUUUUGGCGAAACAUAUUUUGCUCGUUUAUCUUUUCGCAACUGAUAAAACCAAAAUAACAAAAUGUUUACAACGAACACGAGCGUAUGUCAUUGCGGCGUCCUCUAAGCGACCUGAUUUUGCUUGGCCUCUGACCCACAGAUGCGCUCCGGAGGGGCCGUGCGGUUGCGCGACCUGACAGCUAGGUAGCCGGGCAGCCAGGCAGCCAGACAGCCAGGUGGCCAGGCGAGGCGCAAAGCAACGCUGGGCAGACGUGGUACCAAUAGAUUCAAACGGCACACUGAUAUCGCCAACUGUUAGUCGACAGCAGCGGAUGUGCGUCUUGAGGCGGUGGCGCGACGUCCUCCUCUCAUCAAUAUUAAUUUGACCCGCCGCGGUCGCCGCAUACCUAUGUAUGUCGAAGCUGUUUGUAAAACAAUAGCGCCCACAAUUUCGUUCGACGCUUGCAAGUAUUUAUCGCCGUCUCGAUACUACGGAAAGAAAAUAUGUUAUGACAAAAAUUGCAGAAAACAAAUAAAUACUCUCAACUGAUAGUACUGUCGUGUCUUCUAGUGAACAUUGAGAAAUUCACAACUAAUCGUGUAUUACCCAUCUACGUGAUUCUAUUACCAAUUUCAAUAUCAUUUGGUGUAUUCGGGAUUCCUAAAUUUUUUCCACUUAAUAUGAUGACGUAGGAGUAUCAGACGAAGCAGCAGUGGUGCAGUGCGGAGGUGGACCUCGGCACACUGGAACGAGUAACUCACUAACGAAAUAAACUGAAGGCUGCAUUGGUCGCGGGGCUUGCGGGGCGCCGCGGCGGGCGGGGGAGCGCAAAGACGUUGACCUCGCAGCUCGCAGGAUGCUUGCAGAGACAAUUAUCGAAAAUCGCGACUGGUUACGUAAGGAAACUAAAGGCGCUCGAGUAGCGGGCGGCAGGCGGCGGUCAGCGGGCAGCGCGCGGUGCAAACAGUGCAACAUACGCCUUGUUCUAACAGUAACAUAGCACAGUCCGCAGCAGCACUAGCUGCUGCAUGACCGCACAAAAGACUGUAGUAACGUGAAAGUAAUACCGCUUUUCGAUGACGAUGACACAUGAUUAUUUUUUAAUACUCGAUUAGCAAGGACAACCUUUACCGCCAGACAGUUAUCACAGACCUUCUCACAGUGGCAAAUACUGAAUGUCGGCCAUCAUCAUCAUUGUGAUAGGUACACAUUUUGUUUUCGUAUCACUUACAAUUAGACUACAAAAGGUCGAAAACCGGACUAGCCAUUGAUUUGUGAGGUAAUAAUUCGGCGGCUCCUACACAAGGGCGAAGAACCCGUGGCGCUGGGGGCGCACGAGGCGCUCGGGGGCGCGGCGUGGAGUAAUUGUGACAAUAAACAGGCGGUAAUGGGCGCCGCGCCCGCUGCUUCAUUAGCGGACAGUCGUUCCCUCGCGAGCAUAUGCCCGCGCCCCUCACGCCGCGCCGCGCGCUCGCCACACCCGCACGCUCCGAGCCCAUCCUUCAUUUUUGGUGGCGCUGCGCUGGUGCGAGUUGCGCGACAAGUGCGAGGUGCGCUGUGCAGCGUGCUCAGUCGAAGAACGAGUUCUGGCAGUGACCCGCGCCGAGUUGUGAACGAGUUGCAUCGGCUGCGCUCACCGUUACUCCAAGGCUAACUGGCGCCUCCCCCCGUCGCCCACCCCGCACCGCGCACUCCCUCAACGCGCUUCACUUGCCGGCAAUAUUAUAAUUAUUACAAAUUAAAGAAAAAAUGAUGACCGUUCCUUACUUACCUUACGAUAACUUGAGUGGGUUUGAAGCAAAAUUUAAAAAAUUGUAACGACGGCUGUUUUCGUUAUUUCGUGUGGCAAAGUCAUUUAUGUCUAUAUAGCAAACAUUACAAAAUUGAAUGAUUGUUCAAAACGCGUGGUAGAAAGUCAGUUGUCCUACAUAUAUGAACUAAAUAUAAUCGUAGUUAAUCAUCUUUAUUAUAUAGCUUGUGUGGCAUUAAAUAAAUAAAUACCAUAUUAUAACAUGGA